rnacentral:lncRNA from 1 species
AUGGGGCUGAACUUCUAUACCCCGCUCCCGUGUUCUAACAAGUGCCUCGGGAGGUAUACAGAGGCUCAGCCCUGUCUUGUGCUCUUGGGAAGAGGCCCCGCCCCAGCCUCGCCCUUUAGUCCUAAAAGGCCUCUCAGGAGAAGUAUAGAGGCUCAGCCCUGUCUCAGGCUCUUGGGAAGAGGCCCGGCCCCCACCUCAGCCUCGCCCUUUAGUUCUAAAAGGCCUCUCAGGAGAAGUAUAGAGGCUCAGCCCUGUCUCAGGCUCUUGGGAAGAGGCCCGACCCCCACCUCAGCCUCACCCUUUAGUUCUAAAAGGCAUCUCGGGAGAAGUAUAGAGGCUCAGCCCUGUCUCAGGCUCUUGGGGAGAGGCCCCGCCCCCACCCCCACCUCAGCCUCGCCCUUUAGUUCUAAAAGGCUUCCCAGGAGAAGUAUAGAGGCUCAGCCCUGUCUCAGGCUCUUGGGAAGAGGCCCGGCCCCCACCUCAGCCUCGCCCUUUAGUUCUAAAGGGCUUCCCAGGAGAAGUAUAGAGGCUCAGCCCUGUCUCAGGCUCUUGGGAAGAGGCCCGGCCCCCACCUCAGCCUCGCCCUUUAGUUCUAAAAGGCCUCUCAGGAGAAGUAUAGAGGCUCAGCCCUGUCUCAGGCUCUUGGGAAGAGGCCCCGCCCCCACCUCAGCCUCGCCCUUUAGUCCUAAAAGGCUUCCCAGGAGAAGCAUAGAGGCUCAGCCCUGUCUCAGGCUCUUGGGAAGAGGCUCCGCCCCCACCUCAGCCUCGCCCUUUAGUUCUAAAAAGCCUCUCAGGAGAAGUAUAGAGGCUCAGCCCUGUCUCAGGCUCUUGGGAAGAGGCCCCGCCCCCACCUCAGCCUCGCCCUUUAGUUCUAAAAGGCUUCCCAGAAGAAGUAUAGAGGCUCAGCCCUGUCUCAGGCUCUUGGGAAGAGGCCCGGCCCCCAUCUCAGCCUCGCCCUUUAGUUCUAAAAGGCUUCCCAGGAGAAGUAUAGAGGCUCAGCCCUGUCUCAGGCUCUUGGGAAGGGGCCCGGCCCCCAACCCAGCCUCACCCUUUAGUUCUAAAAGGCUUCCCAGGAGAAGUAUAGAGGCUCAGCCCUGUCUCAGGCUCUUGGGAAGAGGCCCGGCCCCCAUCUCAGCCUCGCCCUUUAGUUCUAAAAGGCCUCUCAGGAGAAGUAUAGAGGCUCAGCCAUGUCUCAGGCUCUUGGGAAGAGGCCCGCCCCCACCUCAGCCUCGCCCUUUAGUCCUAAAAGGCUUCACAGGAGAAGUAUAG